AAGCGAAAUGGUAACAUGGAGCAAACCCCUAAAAGCAGUCUCAGUUCAGAUUGUGGGCUGCAACUCGCCCACAUGAAGGUGGAAUUGCUAGUAAUCGCGGAUCAGCAUGCCGCGGUGAAUACGUUCCCGGGCCUUGUACACACCGCCCGUCACACCAUGAGAGUCGGAAACACCCGAAGCCUGUAGCUUAACCGCAAGGAGGGCGCAGUCGAAGGUGGGUUCGAUAAUUGGGGUGAAGUCGUAACAAGGUAGC
rnacentral:rRNA from 1 species